GCGGCUAGUUGUUUUUUCAUUAGGGAUGAGCCCUCUGUGCCUGAAGAUCAGAGGGUGACAUGCGCAUUGCACGGAGCGCUCACGAGCCGCGGACACAAUGCUGGAAAAUAAAGCGCGCAGCUUGCUUCUUGAUAUCUUGCAGUCCCUCAAUAAGCUGUUAUGACUUGUCCCAUCAGGAAAGUGUCAUUCUUGGUAUUCGGUACUGGUAAAUUGACCCUGCGGACUGGUGGAGGAGGUGGAUGUGCUGUGCUUGGAGCUCAGUGGGGACCUGUUGAUAGCCCGCCGGCGCUGCAAUGGAGGUGCCAAACAGAGAUGAAUGACGUGUAACUGAGACAGAAAGUCACAAAGACACAAGUUAUCCAAACAAUCUGUCAGGCUACAAUGGAAAUCCUGGAUACUCAGCGUGCCUUGGAAGCUGUGGAGAGAUUGCAAGCCAAACUGAAGGAGAGAGGAGAGGCCCCCACACAGGAGAAACUCUCCCUGCUAAAGACUGUCCUGCAG